GAUGAGCGCUGGCGGCGUGCUUAACACAUGCAAGUCGAACGAUGAAGCCCAGCUUGCUGGGUGGAUUAGUGGCGAACGGGUGAGUAACACGUGAGUAACCUGCCCUUGACUCUGGGAUAAGCCUGGGAAACUGGGUCUAAUACCGGAUAGGAACGUCCACCGCAUGGUGGGUGUUGGAAAGAUUUAUCGGUCAUGGAUGGACUCGCGGCCUAUCAGCUUGUUGGUGAGGUAAUGGCUCACCAAGGCGACGACGGGUAGCCGGCCUGAGAGGGUGACCGGCCACACUGGGACUGAGACACGGCCCAGACUCCUACGGGAGGCAGCAGUGGGGAAUAUUGCACAAUGGGCGAAAGCCUGAUGCAGCGACGCCGCGUGAGGGAUGACGGCCUUCGGGCUGUAAACCUCUUUCAGUAGGGAAGAAGCGAAAGUGACGGUACCUGCAGAAGAAGCACCGGCUAACUACGUGCCAGCAGCCGCCGUAAAAC
rnacentral:rRNA from 1 species